CUUCAGUGAUGAUACGAUGACGAGUCGGAAGAGUACUUUCUGGCUCUGACGGAUACUGGUUCAAAUCCAUGUUCUGUGGUUUUGGUGCAGUUCCUCAGAGCAGGGAGUGCUUUACAGUUGAAGACAUAGAGGCAUUUGUCUGAGAAGG
rnacentral:snoRNA from 1 species